rnacentral:rRNA from 1 species
GACGAACGCUGGCGGCGUGCUUAACACAUGCAAGUCGAACGGAAAGGCCCUGCUUUUGUGGGGUGCUCGAGUGGCGAACGGGUGAGUAACACGUGAGUAACCUGCCCUUGACUUUGGGAUAACUUCAGGAAACUGGGGCUAUUUCCGGCUGGAGACUCUUCUGGCAGGUGGGGGGUGGGAAAUUUCGGCGGUUGGGGAUGGACUUCCGGCUUAUCAGUUUGUUGGUGGGGUAGUGGCUUACCAAGGCUUUGACGGGUAGCCGGCCUGAGAGGGUGACCGGCCACAUUGGGACUGAGAUACGGCCCAGACUCCUACGGGAGGCAGCAGUGGGGAAUAUUGCACAAUGGGCGGAAGCCUGAUGCAGCAACGCCGCGUGCGGGAUGACGGCCUUCGGGUUGUAAACCGCUUUCGCCUGUGACGAAGCGUGAGUGACGGUAAUGGGUAAAGAAGCACCGGCUAACUACGUG